rnacentral:rRNA from 1 species
CGGCCACCGCUAUUGGAAUUCGAUUAAGACAUGCGAGUCGAGAGUCGUAAGGACUCGGCGGACCGCUCAGUAACACGCGGAUAACAUGCCCUAAGGUGGAGGAUAAUCUCGGGAAACUGAGAAUAAUACUCCAUAGAUCUAAAAUGCUGGAAUGCUUCUAGGUCGAAAAUUCCGGUGCCUUAGGAUUGGUCUGCGGCGUAUCAGGUUGUAGUGGGUGUAACGGACCCACUAGCCGAUGACGCGUAUGGGCCUUGAGAGAGGAAGCCCAGAGAUGGACUCUGAGACAUGAGUCCAGGCCCUACGGGGCGCAGCAGUCGCGAAAACUUCACAAUGGGGGCAACCCCGAUGAGGGCAUUCCAAGUGCUAGCACUUUUUGUGUUAGCUGUUCUUUUGUCUAAAAAACAAGAGAAGUAAGGGCCGGGUAAGACGGGUGCCAGCCGCCGCGGUAAUACCCGCGGCCCGAGUGGUGGUCGAUAUUAUUGAGCCUAAAACGUUCGUAGCCGGUCUUGUAAAUCCUUGGGUAAAUCGGCCAGCUUAACUGUCCGAAGUCCGGGGGGACUGCAAGACUUGGGAUCGGGAGAGGUCAGAGGUACUUCUGGGGUAGGGGUAAAAUCCUGUAAUCCUAGAAGGACCACCGGUGGCGAAGGCGUCUGACUAGAACGAAUUCGACGGUGAGGAACGAAGCCCUGGGGCGCAAACGGGAUUAGAUACCCCGGUAGUCCAGGGUGUAAACGCUGCGGGCUUGGUGUUGGGGGUCCUUAGUGGGCGCCCAGUGCCGGAGAGAAGUUGUUAAGCCUGCUGCUUGGGGAGUACGUCCGCAAGGAUGAAACUUAA